ACCAAGUGAGCAAUGGAAUCGUUAGGGAUGCCUAGGGUGCCGGCUACGGGAGCGUACCAGCUUAAAGUAGCACGCGUGUGACAGGUGUGAGCUCGUUAUUGGGUUCUAAACUGUUGCACUAGUCAGUGGUGCUACGACCCGCAGCGAAAGCUUUUAACAGCUACCCGGCCAACGGAGACAUCCAAGUAGCCGGUGGAAAAAAAAUCAACCGAGAUUCCGUAAGUAGCGGCGAGCGAACACGGACACUGCCUGUCGAGACCAACCCAGCCGCAAACCCUUGGAACAGGGUGUGUACGGCGCUCAGACUCCAGUAGCAACUACGGCUACUGACCUGAGCGUGCGUCACCAGCCGUCAAACCAUGGCGACUGACCAGAGAGAGUGACAGUCUCGUGCGGUAUGGGGGUUUCGAGAACAAAAGUACUGCGGUUCAUUCCGCAGGAACGUCGGAGCAAUCAUCUUCGAGGGCAGAAUACAGCCGGCACACCGAUAGCGCAUAGUAACGCGAGUGAACGGUGAAAAGAAAGUCGAUGACUAGUGAAAAAGAGCCUGAACUAGCGAUUCUACGAGCAGCUGGAUUCCGCAUGGCACAAACGCCAGGAUGACAGCGUACCUUUUGCAUAAUGGGUCAGCAAGCCGGUCGUAGCAGCGAGGCGAAAGCCCCAGCGAGAGCAACUCAGUCAGAAUCGACUGCGGUCAGAGUUGCUGCGAUCGAACCCGAAACCUGGUGAGCCAGUCAGCGUCAGGUCAUACGGACCGAACAGGUGAGCGUUGCAAUGCUCUCUGAUGAACGCUGACUAGGGAGCGAAAGGCAUACCUGACCAGGAGUUAGCUGGUUUUCUGCGAAACGUGUUACAGCACGGGUCACACGAAGCACGUCGGUUCAGUCUGACGUGCGAGACGAUGCCCUGGGUACAGCACUGGUUGUCACACGGCGUCUAACAACGUCGUCAAUCGGGGGGCGGUCAACGCUCUACCGCUGACAGCUAACCUCGGAACCAGGACAUCGGCUCGUGUGAGCUCAGACCCGGGGCGAUAAGGUCGCGGGUCGAAAGGGCAACAGCCCAGAGCGUGAGUUAAGGCUCCGAAUGGCGGCCAAGUGAAAAGAAGGCAGUCGGACUGCGAUGACAGCCAUGAUGUGCGCUCGGAAGUGGCGACCAUCUGACGAGAGUGUAACAACUCAGUGGCCUAGGCAGUCCGGCACCGAAAAUUCGCGGAUCUGAGAGCCGCCAGCCGACACCACGCUGCAGUGCUACCGGUCGUGACAUGCGACACGGGCGCUGUAGGUAGCAGAACACUCGGCCUGGGCGAAUGGCAGUCCGUGACUGUCUGGACAGAGCCGAGGCGAGAAUGCUGGCAUGAGUAGCGCAAAACAGGUUUAAUCCUGUUCCCAGAUUGCGACCGGUUUUCUCCGAGCCGUUCGACGGCGGAGAGUCAAAGCGGUCUCUAAGGCUGAAUCCGGCCAUUGCGGUCAGCCGAUGAGGACGGUCACCGAAGCUCAGUGUGGCCGCCGGAGUGCUCAAUCGAGUCCCGGCGAUCAUGGUAGCCAAGAAACAGGUGGCCGAUCACACCGUACCGAAACCGACACAGGUUCGCUGGUGUAGCACACCGAUGGGUAGAGUGAACGGCACUCAAGGAACUCGGCAAAAUGCUCCCGUACGUUUGGCAAUAAGGGAGGCCACGGACAGUGCACACCGCGCAGUCCGUGGCGGCACAGAAUCGUGAGCUGCGACUGUUUACCUAAAACACAGGUCGCUGCGAUGAUUAGCGUCGUAGUAUAGCGACUGAGGCUUGCCCAGUGCCACGAGUCUAACGUCGCAGGCUGUAACCCAGCACUGUGACUGACGCUCUGGUAAACGGCGGUCUUAACUAUAAGGAUCCUAAGGUAGCGAAAUUCCUUGGCCGUUAAAUGCGGUCCUGCAUCAAUAGCAUUACGAUGGCUCAGCUGUCUCGAGUGCCGACUCAGCGAAAUUGAAUUGGCCGUGAAGAUGCGGUCUGCUCGCCGUUAGACGGGAAGACCCUAUGCAGCUUUACUGCAGUCAGUCACUGGCGAUGGCCGCCCAGGGUGCAGCAACGUAGUAGCCGACUCCGGCGCCCACUGAGAGACUACGACCUGCGGUGGCGAUUGCCUCACGGACGACAGUUGUCCGGACACUGGCUGACAGGUAGUUUUACUGGGACGGUAUCCUUUAAGAAUGUAUCAAAGGAGUCCGAAGCCGGGCAGCGAUCGGAUGGAAACCGAUGGGCAUUGUAGCCCAAGACGCGUAACAGCCUAGCCCGGCUGACUGCGAGAGCGACAGUUCAAGCAGGCGCGCAAGCGUGGUGUAGUGAGCCGGUGGUACCUAAUGAGUGGGCCAUCGCUCAACGGAUAAAAGUUACGCUAGGGAUAACAGCGUGGUCACCAGCGAGAGUUCACAUUGUCCUGGUGGUUCGCGACCUCGAUGUCGACUCGUCUUAUCCUGCUGCUGCAUUAGGUAGCAAGGGUCCGGCUGUUCGCCGGGUAAAAAGGCACGCGAGUUGGGUUCAGUACGGCGUGAGCCAGUACGGUCCCUAUCUUCGGCGAGCACGCGCAGUCAAUGGCGGACCAGCCUCUAGUACGAAAGGACCGAGUGCUGGCGAACCUCUAGUGCAUCAGUUGUCGGCUCUGAGAUCACUCAGACUGGCACCGCUGAGCAGCCAAGUUCGCAUGUGAUAAGCUCUGACGGCAUCUGAAGAGCGAAGCCAACCGCCGGAGACUGCCAGCGGUAUUACCGCACGACACGGAGCAGACGACUCCGUCAGUAGGCUAGCAGUGUCAGCCCCGCGAGGGAGCUCAGCUGGCUAGCACUAAUGUGUCCAAAUCGGCUUGGU
rnacentral:rRNA from 1 species